GUUCCCAAUGAUGAAUUAACCAUGCUAAUACUGAUACUAUCUGACGAGUAAUAUAUUAUUACUGAGGGAGCC
rfam:Triticum aestivum genome assembly, contig: Triticum_aestivum_CS42_TGACv1_scaffold_499443_6BL